rnacentral:rRNA from 1 species
UACGUAGGGGGCAAGCGUUGUCCGGAUUCAUUGGGCGUAAAGAGCGUGUAGGCGGCCAGGUAGGUCGGUUGUGAAAACUGGAGGCUCAACCUUCAGAGGUCGAUCGAAACCAUCUGGCUAGAGUCCGGGAGAGGAGAGUGGAAUUCCUGGUGUAGCGGUGAAAUGCGCAGAUAUCAGGAAGAACACCCGUGGCGAAAGCGGCUCUCUGGAACGGUACUGACGCUGAGGAGCGAAAGUGUGGGGAGCGAACAGG